rnacentral:rRNA from 1 species
CCUACGUGAUGCAGCAGUGAGGAAUAUUGGUCAAUGGGCGCGAGCCUGAACCAGCCAAGUAGCGUGAAGGAUGACUGCCCUACGGGUUGUAAACUUCUUUUAUAAAGGAAUAAAGUGAGGCACGUGUGCCUUUUUGUAUGUACUUUAUGAAUAAGGAUCGGCUAACUCCGUGCCAGCAGCCGCGGUAAUACGGAGGAUCCGAGCGUUAUCCGGAUUUAUUGGGUUUAAAGGGAGCGUAGAUGGGUUGUUAAGUCAGUUGUGAAAGUUUGCGGCUCAACCGUAAAAUUGCAAUUGAUACUGGCAGUCUUGAGUACAGUUGAGGUAGGCGGAAUUCGUGGUGUAGCGGUGAAAUGCUUAGAUAUCACGAAGAACUCCGAUUGCGAAGGCAGCUUACUAAACUGCCACUGACAUUGAUGCUCGAAAGUGUGGGUAUCAAACAGGAUUAGAUACCCCAGGAGUC